CCUACGGGGGGCAGCAGUCGAGAAUCAUUCACAAUGGGGGAAACCCUGAUGGUGCGACGCCGCGUGGGGGAAUGAAGGUCUUCGGAUUGUAAACCCCUGUCAUGUGGGAGCAAAUUAAAAAGAUAGUACCACAAGAGGAAGAGACGGCUAACUCUGUGCCAGCAGCCGCGGUAAUACAGAGGUCUCAAGCGUUGGUCGGAAUCACGGGGCGUAAAGCGUGCGGAGGCUGUUUCGUAAGUCGUGUGGGAAAGGGGCGGGCUCAACCCGCGGCCGGCAUAUGAUACUGCGAGACUAGAGUAAUGGAGGGGGAAGCGGAAUUCGCGGGGUAGCAGGGAAAUGCGUAGAUA
rnacentral:rRNA from 1 species